AGACACAAUAAAUAAAAUAGUCAAAAUAUGGGUACAGCAGUAAUCAUCGUGUAACAAUUUUAAAAGGAACAAUUUAACAGAACACAAAAACAUGUAUCUACAAACACAUUCAUUGAUUCGCGUGUCUGACGUCAGAAAAUGUUAUACGUCACAUGUAUUUGUCGUUCAAUGUACAUACAAACAAUUUUAAAAUUUCACAUAGG
rnacentral:lncRNA from 1 species